GUGAAUGGAAGCAUUCACCAGCGUUAAAUGCCGCCACUCCCACCUGGCCAAAUGAUUUGAAUGCAUGUUGAAAUUAUUAAAAUAUUUAUUAAAUAACAGGCCAAAUAGGCACAAUUAAGUUAUUUGGGCUCAACGUCAGCACAACGCGGACUGUAUGGGUCGGAGCUUCUGCGGGACAGGGCCAAUCAUAUGGCACAUUAAAUAAAA